rnacentral:rRNA from 1 species
AGUGAACGCUGGCGGUAGGCCUAACACAUGCAAGUCGAACGGCAGCACAGUAAGAGCUUGCUCUUACGGGUGGCGAGUGGCGGACGGGUGCGGAAUACAUCGGAAUCUACUUUUUCGUGGGGGAUAACGUAGGGAAACUUACGCUAAUACCUCAUACGACCUACGGGUGAAAGCAGGGGAUCUUCGGACCUUGCGCGAUUGAAUGAGCCGAUGUCGGAUUAGCUAGUUGGCGGGGUAAAGGCCCACCAAGGCGACGAUCCGUAGCUGAUCUGAGAGGAUGAUCAGCCACACUGGAACUGAGACACGGUCCAGACUCCUACGGGAGGCCGCAGUGGGGAAUAUUGGACAAUGGGCGCAAGCCUGCUCCAGCCAUACCGCGUGGGUGAAGAAGGCCUUCGGGUUGUAAAGCCCUUUUGUUGGGAAAGAAAAGCAGCAGGUUAAUACCCCGCUGUUCUGACGGUACCCAAAGAAUAAGCACCGGCUAACUUCGUG